rnacentral:rRNA from 1 species
UACGUAGGGGGCUAGCGUUGUCCGGAAUCAUUGGGCGUAAAGCGCGUGUAGGCGGUCCGGUAAGUCCGCUGUGAAAGUCGGGGGCUCAACCCUCGAAUGCCGGUGGAUACUGUCGGGCUAGAGUGCGGAAGAGGCGAGUGGAAUUCCUGGUGUAGCGGUGAAAUGCGCAGAUAUCAGGAGGAACACCAAUUGCGAAGGCAGCUCGCUGGGACGUUACUGACGCUGAGGCACGAAGGUCAGGGGAGCAAACGGG